rnacentral:rRNA from 1 species
CCUACGGGUGGCAGCAGUGGGGAAUAUUGCACAAUGGGGGAAACCCUGAUGCAGCGACGCCGCGUGAGUGAAGAAGUAAUUCGUUACGUAAAGCUCUAUCAGCAGGGAAGAAAAUGACGGUACCUGAGUAAGAAGCCCCGGCUAACUACGUGCCAGCAGCCGCGGUAAUACGUAGGGGGCGAGCGUUGUCCGGAAUGACUGGGCGUAAAGGGAGUGUAGGCGGCAAUAUAAGUUAGAUGUGAAAUCCCGCGGCUCAACCGCGGAACUGCAUCUAAAACUAUAUAGCUGGAGUGCAGGAGAGGUGAGUGGAAUUCCUAGUGUAGCGGUGGAAUGCGUAGAUAUUAGGAGGAACACCAGAGGCGAAGGCGACUCACUGGACUGUAACUGACGCUGAGGCUCGAAAGCGUGGGGAGCAAACAGGAUUAGAUACCCUGGUAGUC